rfam:Rhizobium sp. Leaf371 contig_24, whole genome shotgun sequence.
UCUGCGGACCGGGCCCCUCUGAUUAAGGCAAACGCCUCUAUGAUGUCGGACCGCAUCG